rnacentral:rRNA from 2 species
ACGGGUGAGUAACACGUGGGUAACCUGCCUGUAAGACUGGGAUAACUCCGGGAAACCGGAGCUAAUACCGGAUAGUUCCUUGAACCGCAUGGUUCAAGGAUGAAAGACGGUUUCGGCUGUCACUUACAGAUGGACCCGCGGCGCAUUAGCUAGUUGGUGGGGUAAUGGCUCACCAAGGCGACGAUGCGUAGCCGACCUGAGAGGGUGAUCGGCCACACUGGGACUGAGACACGGCCCAGACUCCUACGGGAGGCAGCAGUAGGGAAUCUUCCGCAAUGGACGAAAGUCUGACGGAGCAACGCCGCGUGAGUGAUGAAGGUUUUCGGAUCGUAAAGCUCUGUUGUUAGGGAAGAACAAGUGCGAGAGUAACUGCUCGCACCUUGACGGUACCUAACCAGAAAGCCACGGCUAACUACGUGCCAGCAGCCGCGGUAAUACGUAGGUGGCAAGCGUUGUCCGGAAUUAUUGGGCGUAAAGGGCUCGCAGGCGGUUUCUUAAGUCUGAUGUGAAAGCCCCCGGCUCAACCGGGGAGGGUCAUUGGAAACUGGGAAACUUGAGUGCAGAAGAGGAGAGUGGAAUUCCACGUGUAGCGGUGAAAUGCGUAGAGAUGUGGAGGAACACCAGUGGCGAAGGCGACUCUCUGGUCUGUAACUGACGCUGAGGAGCGAAAGCGUGGGGAGCGAACAGGAUUAGAUACCCUGGUAGUCCACGCCGUAAA